rnacentral:rRNA from 1 species
UACGGAGGAGGCAAGCGUUAUCCGGAAUUAUUGGGCGUAAAGCGUCCGCAGGUGGCUAUUCAAGUCUGCGGUCAAAGACUGGGGCUUAACCCUGGAAAGGCCGUGGAAACUGAAGAGCUAGAGUGCAGUAGGGGUAGAGGGAAUUCCCGGUGUAGCGGUGAAAUGCGUAGAUAUCUGGAGGAACACCGGUGGCGAAGGCGGCAUCCUGGACCAACACUGACGCUGAGUGAGCGAAAGCCAGGGGAGCAAACGGG